CCUCUGUCGCUAACAAAUUUUAACUUCACAGUUCACACAUUUUCCAUUAGUGAAAUGAGAAAUUACAAACUUAAUUAAAAAAUGUUAGUAAAUUUACAUUUUACUUUAUAGUAAAUACGAUAGCAUGCUCAUUGUAGUUAAGUCAUAACUCGUUAUUUUAUAGUUUUUGAAAUAUUUGCAUAAAUAUAUCAAUUGAUAAUAUUUGCUCUCGACUUUAUUUUGACGUUACAUUCUUGGACAAACCAUUAAUUUAAUAGGUUGAAUGCUUUUUUCCGAAAAUCUUUUAUCAUUUAAAAAUCAAUGUUAUCAUGUCAGAAAUAUCUAUGGCGUUGAGAAUAGGCUAUACCAAUUACUAUGGAAAUGUCUUUUCAAUUGGACCCAAGACUGAAGACCUUACAAUUUUAAAUCAAGGUGUAAAUUAUACAUAUAAAGCAUUAAUUUAAUAGGUUGAAUGCUUUUUUACUGAAAAUAUUUCAUCUUUUAAAAACCAAUGUUAUCAUGUAAAAUUGGUUUUGAGUAUGACAUAUCAAUUGCUAUGGAAAUGUCUUUCCAAUCGGACCCAAGACCUUACAAUUAUAUAUCAAGGUGUAAAUUAUAAGUAUAAAACAUUUAUUUCUAAUGUGACAUUUUUUCAUGUGAAUGUAUAAUAUCAACACUAAGCAAUUUGAAUGAAAAGUGUGUUGUGUUAACUUAAAAUAAUUAUUAAUGCAUGUAUUUGUGUAUGUGGGUUGAUAAUACUCAUAUACCCGUUUCAUUUAUUUUUAAAAAUAUCAGUAAUUAAUGUAUGAAUUUCAUACUACUACAUACAAGGAAUCGCUUCUUGAUUAUACCAAUAUUUAUAAUAAUAUGUAAGUAUAUUAUUUUUAUUUGAUUAAACUUAUCUAAGGUAGUUCAAAUGUCUGCUUUCAGUUUAGUUAUUUCUUACAAUGAUAUAACCCAUAUAUUGUGUGUCUGACAUACAUUACGGAUAUUUUAUCAUAAAGUUUUAGCUAUAACUGACACAGGUAUUUGGCUAUCACAGUUAAAUUUUAUAUCAAAUUUAUUAAUAUACAAUAAUUCUCUCUUUAAAAAAGUAGUAAUUCUAUUAAUUUGUAUUUAAUGAAUUCAGUAAAUCAAGUAAAUUAUUUUUUUGAACUUGCCUAAGAUAAUUCUUAUAGUUAAUUUUAUUUAUUGAAUUUUGAUUUUGUUAGAUUUGUUUAAUUACCAACGAUUGUUAAAAGAAAAAAAUUUAA